rnacentral:rRNA from 1 species
AUUGAACGCUGGCGGAAUGCUUUACACAUGCAAGUCGAACGGCAGCACGGACUUCGGUCUGGUGGCGAGUGGCGAACGGGUGAGUAAUGUAUCGGAACGUGCCCAGUCGUGGGGGAUAACGUAGUGAAAAUUACGCUAAUACCGCAUACGAUCUAUGGAUGAAAGCGGGGGAUCGCAAGACCUCGCGCGAUUGGAGCGGCCGAUAUCAGAUUAGGUAGUUGGUGGGGUAAAGGCCCACCAAGCCAACGAUCUGUAGCUGGUCUGAGAGGACGACCAGCCACACGGGAACUGAGACACGGUCCAGACUCCUACGGGAGGCAGCAGUGGGGAAUUUUGGACAAUGGGCGAAAGCCUGAUCCAGCCGUCCCGCGUGCAGGAUGAAGGCCCUCGGGUUGUAAACUGCUUUUGUACAGAACGAAAAGGUUUCUACUAAUACUAGGAGCUCAUGACGGUACUGUAAGAAUAAGCACCGGCUAACUACGUGCCAGCAGCCGCCGUAA